AGUGAACGCUGGCGGCAGGCCUAAUACAUGCAAGUCGAACGGCAGCACAGUGGAGCUUGCUCCAUGGGUGGCGAGUGGCGAACGGGUGAGGAAUACGUGGGAAUCUGCCCAGUCGUGGGGGAUAACGUAGGGAAACUUACGCUAAUACCGCAUGCGCCCUUCGGGGGAAAGCCGGGGACCUUCGGGCCUGGCGCGAUUGGAUGAGCCCACGUCGGAUUAGCUAGUUGGCGGGGUAACGGCCCACCAAGGCGACGAUCCGUAGCUGGUCUGAGAGGAUGAUCAGCCACACUGGAACUGAGACACGGUCCAGACUCCUACGGGAGGCAGCAGUAGGGAAUAUUGGACAAUGGGCGCAAGCCUGAUCCAGCCAUGCCGCGUGAGUGAAGAAGGCCCUCGGGUUGUAAAGCUCUUUUGUCCGGAAAGAAAAGCAUUCGGUUAAUACCCGGGUGUUCUGACGGUACCGGAAGAAUAAGCACCGGCUAACUCGUGCCAGCAGCCGCGGUAAAGUAUCG
rnacentral:rRNA from 1 species